CCCCUCACAGUUAUAAUAAUAAUAAUAAUAAUAAUAACUCAUUUAAAUCAAAGGGAUCAUCUAGAUAGAGUGUGUUUGAUCAAGAAAUGAAUGGCUAGCAGAAAAAUGAAAUGGAUAGUCAAACAAUAUCCGGGCAGAGACACUCUAUUUCACUUUCGAUCAAUUCAUAGGUUUCUUUUUUGGUGUUAAGCUCUCGAUGCAGU
ensembl:ncRNA F20A1.12 ncRNA